rnacentral:rRNA from 1 species
ACUCCUACGGGAGGCAGCAGUGGGAGUAUUGCAUCAAUGGCAGCAGCAUGCAUGCAGCCAUGCCGCGUGUGUGAAGAAGGCCUUCGGGUUGUAAAGCACUUUCAGUCGUGAGGAAGGUAGUGUAGUUAAUAGCUGCAUUAUUUGACGUUAGCGACAGAAGAAGCACCGGCUAACUCCGUGCCAGCAGCCGCGGUAAUACGGAGGGUGCGAGCGUUAAUCGGAAUUACUGGGCGUAAAGCGCAUGCAGGUGGUUUGUUAAGUCAGAUGUGAAAGCCGGC